AUUGAACGCUGGCGGCAUGCCUUACACAUGCAAGUCGAACGGUAACGCGGGGGCAACCCUGGCGACGAGUGGCGAACGGGUGAGUAAUACAUCGGAACAUAUCCAGUAGCGGGGGAUAACCUAUCGAAAGAUGGACUAAUACCGCAUACGAUCUACGGAUGAAAGCAGGGGACCGCAAGGCCUUGCACUAUUGGAGUGGCCGAUGUCGGAUUAGCUAGUUGGUGGGGUAAAAGCCUACCAAGGCGACGAUCCGUACCGGGUCUGAGAGGACGAUCAGCCACACUGGACCUGAGACACGGCCCAGACUCCUACGGGCGGCAGAAGUGGGGAAUUUUGGACAAUGGGCGCAAGCCUGAUCCAGCCAGGCCGCGUGAGUGAAGAAGGCCUUCGGGUUGUAAAGCUCUUUCGGUGAAGACGAAACGGUUAGCGCUAAUAACGCUGACUAAUGACGGCACUCACAGAAGAAGCACCGGCUAACUACGUGCCAGCCGCCGCGGUAA
rnacentral:rRNA from 1 species